rnacentral:tRNA from 1 species
GGGGCGGUAGCUCAGCUGGUCAGAGCACCGGGCUCAUAACCCGUGCGGUCGUGGGUUCAAGUCCCACCCGCCCCACC